AUUGAACGCUGGCGGCAUGCUUUACACAUGCAAGUCGAACGGUAACAGGCCGCAAGGUGCUGACGAGUGGCGAACGGGUGAGUAAUGCAUCGGAACGUGCCCAGUCGUGGGGGAUAACGCAGCGAAAGCUGCGCUAAUACCGCAUACGAUCUAUGGAUGAAAGCGGGGGACCGUAAUGCCUCGCGCGAUUGGAGCGGCCGAUGUCAGAUUAGGUAGUUGGUGGGGUAAAGGCUCACCAAGCCAACGAUCUGUAGCUGGUCUGAGAUGACGACCAGCCACACUGGGCCUGAGACACGGCCCGGACUCCUACGGGAGGCAGCAGUGGGGAAUAUUGGACAAUGGGCGCAAGCCUGAUCCAGCAAUGCCGCGUGCAGGAAGAAGGCCUUCGGGCUGUAAACUGCUUUUGUCAGGGAAGAAAUCCUCUAGGCUAAUACCUUGGGGGGAUGACGGUACCUGAAGAAUCAGCACCGGCUAACUACGUGCCAGCAGCCGCCGCGGUAA
rnacentral:rRNA from 1 species